UAGCCGUAAACGAUACUCGCUAGGUGUCGGCCACGGUGCGACCGUUGUCGGUGCCGUAGGGAAGCCGUGAAGCGAGCCACCUGGGAAGUACGGCCGCAAGGCUGAAACUUAAAGGAAUUGGCGGGGGAGCACUACAACGGGUGGAGCCUGCGGUUUAAUUGGACUCAACGCCGGAAACUCACCGGGGGGCGACAGCAAUAUGUAGGUCAAGCUGAAGACUUUGCCGGAUUAGCUGAGAGGAGGUGCAUGGCGUAGUCGUGU
rnacentral:rRNA from 1 species